GCCUUCGUAGCUCAGUUGGUUAGAGCAGCUGACUCUUAAUCAGCGGGUCCUCGGUUCGAGUCCGAGCGAGGGUA
rnacentral:tRNA from 2 species